UAAAAGAAGAUUUUUUCAGAGUGCUGGAGAAGCUGCUACCAACUUCCGAACUGAGGCGAGAUAUCACUACUCAAAUCCUUUUAUAUACACGGGCAUCUGGGAUGUUUGGUUGUAAUCUGGCGAAGGAAGCAAUUGAUACUGUUCCUCCAGGUAUCUGGUGGGAACAGUAUGGUGAUGCUGCUCCUACAUUGCAAAGAGUCGCUAUUAAAAUACUUAGCCAGGUGUGCAGUACGUUCACUUGUGAGCGACAUUGGA
rnacentral:misc_RNA from 1 species